rnacentral:rRNA from 1 species
CAGUCGAGCGGACAGAUGGGAGCUUGCUCCCUGAUGUUAGCGGCGGACGGGUGAGUAACACGUGGGUAACCUGCCUGUAAGACUGGGAUAACUCCGGGAAACCGGGGCUAAUACCGGAUGGUUGUUUGAACCGCAUGGUUCAAACAUAAAAGGUGGCUUCGGCUACCACUUACAGAUGGACCCGCGGCGCAUUAGCUAGUUGGUGAGGUAACGGCUCACCAAGGCAACGAUGCGUAGCCGACCUGAGAGGGUGAUCGGCCACACUGGGACUGAGACACGGCCCAGACUCCUACGGGAGGCAGCAGUAGGGAAUCUUCCGCAAUGGACGAAAGUCUGACGGAGCAACGCCGCGUGAGUGAUGAAGGUUUUCGGAUCGUAAAGCUCUGUUGUUAGGGAAGAACAAGUACCGUUCGAAUAGGGCGGUACCUUGACGGUACCUAACCAGAAAGCCACGGCUAACUACGUGCCAGCAGCCGCGGUAAUACGUAGGUGGCAAGCGUUGUCCGGAAUUAUUGGGCGUAAAGGGCUCGCAGGCGGUUUCUUAAGUCUGAUGUGAAAGCCCCCGGCUCAACCGGGGAGGGUCAUUGGAAACUGGGGAACUUGAGUGCAGAAGAGGAGAGUGGAAUUCCACGUGUAGCGGUGAAAUGCGUAGAGAUGUGGAGGAACACCAGUGGCGAAGGCGACUCUCUGGUCUGUAACUGACGCUGAGGAGCGAAAGCGUGGGGAGCGAACAGGAUUAGAUACCCUGGUAGUCCACGCCGUAAACGA